rnacentral:misc_RNA from 1 species
AGGCACCAAUCACACCGUGUGAAGUUAUUCAGCAUGCCACUAGCAAAGAUGGCAUGUUUAUACUGGUGAAGUUUAGUGGCUUCAGAUCAUGAUAAUUAUGCUUCUGGCCUCAUUCCUGAUGACGAUGAAGAUGAAGAUCGUACGUACCUCCCCGACCCACGGCCAGCAGCGGACACGGACGAGGACGAGGACCAGGACAUGGACGAGGACAUGGACGAGGACGAGGACAAGGGCAAGUCCAAGGAUAUGGACGAGAACCAGGAUAUGGAGGAAGUCAAAGACGAGAACGAGGACGAGGACCAGGAUGAGGCCCAGGUAGUGGCCAAGAACAGCAGUAGGGCUUCCGGCGAACACAGUGUCUCUGUUGAAAAAUCUCCUAAAGCAAGAAAGCCAUCCCUAAAGCGGAACGUUUGCCCCUAUUGUGAUACCCUGCACACAAAAUUUGCACGCCAUCUUUUCCGGAAGCAUAAACGAGAACCCGACGUACCUGACGCGCUCGCCUUUCCAAAAGGAUCAAGGGAGAGGAGAAUCACUCUGGAAGGUAUCAUUCAUAAAGGCAACUUCAAACAUAACUGCUGUUUUCCGAGAUGGGCGAGGAACGAUCGUCCCCAGGAGGCGUCCACCCCAAGAUAUGAAUGUCAACGUGAAAGA